rnacentral:tRNA from 1 species
GGAGGACUAGACCUAACUGGUAAGGCAGCGGUCUUGAAAACCGCCGGGCCGCAAGGCCCUUGGGGGUUCGAGUCCCCCGUCCUCCG